rnacentral:tRNA from 1 species
GCUUCUAUGGCCAAGUUGGUAAGGCGCCACACUAGUAAUGUGGAGAUCAUCGGUUCAA